rnacentral:misc_RNA from 1 species
GCAAACUUGGUCAUUUAGAGGAAGUAAAAGUCGUAACAAGGUUUCCGUAGGUGAACCUGCGGAAGGAUCAUUAACAAUUGUCCACCAAUAAUGGAUAAUUUUAUCCAUAUCCACCUUGUGUGAAUCAUUGAAGCGUUUGUUGGCAGGUUAGGAUCUCUCUCCAUGAGAGAAAUUUCCGCGGGUUUUUAGACAUCGUUGUCUGCUCGGCCUGCCAAUUUUAUACUGUUUAAACAUGUCUAUAUACUUACUGGCUGAAAUUGUUUAUUAUUAAAUAAAUACAACUUUCAACAACGGAUCUCUUGGCUCUCGCAUCGAUGAAGAACGCAGC